rnacentral:rRNA from 1 species
UGCUACCUACGGGGGGCAGCAGUGGGGGAUAUUGCACAAUGGGGGGAACCCUGAUGCAGCGACGCCGCGUGGGUGAAGGAGCGUUUCGGCGCGUAAAGCCCUAUCGGCAGGGAAGAAGAUGACGGUACCUGACCAAGAAGCCCCGGCUAACUACGUGCCAGCAGCCGCGGUAAUACGUAGGGGGCAAGCGUUAUCCGGCUUUACUGGGGGUAAAGGGGGCGCAGACGGCAAUGCAAGCCAGGCGUGAAAGCCCGGGGCCCAACCCCCGGACUGCUCUU